rnacentral:lncRNA from 1 species
AUCUCUAAUUCAGAUCGCAUUCGAAUUUGACAAGAGAUAGGAUUAUGAGUCAUCAAUCAUUUCCACCCACCCUUAUUAUGUCUACUACUUUGAUGCCAAAAAAGUCAAGCCAAAUCUUAUUUGGCAUGGAGGUAUAGGCAAGUGUCCAUGUGUGGCGCAAGGAGAUAAAGAUAGAGUCCAAGUUGACAUGGACUCUUCAUUCCUAAUCUGAUCUAAUCCAAAUCAAAUUUGGAUUUAACCCACUGAUAGAAAUGAAUCUAAUCCAAUUAAAAAUCCAAAUAUCUUAUUAAAUUUCUAACCCA